CAACGUUGGUCAAACGAUUCAGUAUGACAAUUUGUUGUUGUCACUGGUGGCAUCAGCUGCCACACAAAGAGCAUUGUGGUGGAAUGCUGGUACUUGGGCGUCAUCGCCUCGUUGAUGGCAGUUUACUCAUCGCUGCCGUGGUCGCCGAAGAUCAGGGCCGUUACAUUUGUUCCGUCAACAAUUCCAUGGGAUUAGUCGAAUCACGUACCGAACUCGUUUCUCUUUUUAGGAUUGGUAGCAGCUUCCGAAGCAGUAGGUUCCAACAUCAUCUAACGUCUGCUUUAGUAUUGGCUGGGAUGUGAAUAAUAAUUUGUGAAAUCAAACAAGUUAAGCAGAAAUCUAGAUUGGUGGUGGUAGUUAUAGGGCACCUGUUCAGGCAACAGUUUCGUUUUUUAAUCCACCAAGGAUUAAAACCGCCAAGGAUGUGUUAUUGCGUCUACUGUGGAGCCUGAAUAACAUACGCAAGGGGGCGUUCAUCUGCAUUCCUGAUCACCAAGCAGUUACAGAUAUGUUCUACACUGAUAAGCAUCAGAGGUAAAGGGCGAGCUGAACUAGGAAUUUUGAUAAUCCAAAUUAAAAUGUGUUAUGGCAGUAUGAUUGUUCCCGUACUCAUUAUUUCUUAAUUGGCUGUUCCGUGCUAAAGCUGUCUCUCCUGUAGAGCUCCUAUUUUUAUACGGUCUGCUGCUAAGGGGUGAGAAAUCUUUUUGUUGACAACUAUUAGGACAUUGUUCACGUUACAAAAUACAAAGAUUGCACAAAAGCGAGGCGAAUACUGGGCAAUCAUUAAGCGACGAACGAGGCUUGGACGCAGUAGGAGGCGAAGUGAAGGCGGAGCGAAGUUUCGAUAUGCCAUUCGGCAAACAAUGUUUUCAUAUCUUUAGGUGCCGUUCCUAUCCUCAGCCCUGCAGUGUGCAAAAAAAGGCAGUGGAAAAAAUCUGCUUGUGGUGCUGAUCUGCACAAUGGCGGCUUCAUAUAAGCAAUCUUGAAAGGUCGUGCCUAUUGCCCCUCAACUCCAGAUGGCACUAGUUACGGGAAAGGGUCGGCCUUCUGACUGUUUUUUCUUUUUUUUAAUAUGUGAUACCUUCGUCCUUCGUUUGGUCUGAUAUUCACUACUGAUAAUUCACAUUUUUUUUCCUUUGUUAUUUUCUUGAGGUAGAAUCCUUCACCUAAAG